CUCAAAAUGAUAAAACUAUGAAAUGGAAGAGCCAAUACCCUGAGAAAAAGAGUUCCAUCUGUCUUUGUGUCUAAAACUCUAAGAAUUUCUUUGUUUGAUUGAGUUCUAAGUCAUGUGGCAGCCUCUAUUUCAGGCAUGCUCCUGCUUCCCUAUGCUCUUCCAUGGAGACUCAGCAUUACAACAGAAGGGUGAAGGAGGACCAGAAAGGCACCUGGGUGCAAGCCUGGCACCACAGGGAGCCCAGGGCAGGAAGCGAUUGAUUGAUCUGUGGGUGCGGAGACCUAUCUGGAGGCUUCUGUGCAUGUGAAUUGGCCUGUCCAAGCUGGUGUUUCUGCCAGCCUGACAGUCUGCUGAAGGGGACUCAGGUGUACACUUCAGCCACUCAAUAACUCUUUCCCUGCUGAAUGUCAAAUGAUUUGAUCCAAAGGGAAAGAGGCUGGAAUUUGUCUGGUGACUAAGUAACAACCAGGCCUUUUUGGCCAGGAAGAAUCUUUCAAGUGAUACAGAGAAUACAUGUGGAAACUGAAAUGAUGAUAUUGAUGAUGAUGGCAUUUAGAGCAGCAGUCACUGCCAUUAGGACAGCGUUGGACUCAAAAAUUCUUCAAAUGGCCUUGAUUUAUCCAGCUGAUAUGUAUUAAACAUGUAGAAAAGAAGAGUUCACAAAGACAUCAGAUCCUGGCCCUCAAGCAGACUUUUUAGUUGGGGGCUCAUGAUAGCCAUUUUCUCUCCAAUACCUUCUCUGCCCUCAGCAUCUUGC